rnacentral:rRNA from 1 species
CCGACGGUGAGGGGUGAAGGCUGGGGGCGCAAACCGGAUUAGAUACCCGGGUAGUCCCANAGUAAACGAUGCCAGCUAUGUGUUGCUGGAACCAUGGGUUCCAGCAGUGCCGAAGGGAAGCCGUGAAGCUGGCCACCUGGGAAGUACGGUCGCAAGGCUGAAACUUAAAGGAAUUGGCGGGGGAGUACCACAACCGGUGGAGCCUGCGGUUUAAUUGGAUACAACGCCGGGAAUCUUACCGGAGGGGACAGCAGUAUGAAGGCCAGGCUAAAGACCUUGCCAGAUCAGCUGAGAGGAGGUGCAUGGCCGUCGCCAGUUCGUACCGUGAGGCAUCCUGUUUAGUCAGGCAACGAUCGAGACCCGCAGUCUUAUUUGCCAGCAUGCCCUUUGGGGUGUAUGGGUACAAUAAGACGACCGCCAGCGCUAAGCUGGAGGAAGGAGCGGGCUACGGUAGGUCAGCAUGCCCCGAAUCCUCCGGGAUACACGCGGGCUACAAUGGUCAGGACAAAAGGUACCGACCUCGAAAGAGUGAGGUAAUCCACAAACCUGAUCUCAGUCCGGAUCGAAGGCUGCAACUCGCCUUCGUGAAGAUGGAAUCGGUAGUAAUCGUGACUCAAAAUGUCA